UGUGUUUGAUGGAAUAACAAAGCUGAUGAGUGGGAUCCUGGGCGUUCUGACUGCUUCCCUCACUAUGAUCAUCAUUUGUCAGGCUGUUAAAAUCAAAAAGCUUCAGAAAGCUCACGUUGAGGAACAGAAUCUGCAACAGACAGAGAGUCUGGGCUCAGAUGAUCUGAACUAUGCAGCAGUGACCUUUCGCCCAAAAACAGAAAGAAACCACCGGCUGGCACCAGAGACAGAAGUGGAGUCAACUGCUAUUUAUUCAGCCACCAGAUAGACUCAGGAAGCACCUGUUGUUAUUUUUAAACACACUGUUACACUGUACAGUGUUUUAGUCUGCUUGAUUGGUGUACCAUCAUCAUUG